GACGUAGGGCGCAAGCGUUGUCCGGAUUUAUUGGGCGUAAAGAGCUCGUAGGCGGCUUGUUGCGUCGGAUGUGAAAGCCCGGGGCUUAACUCCGGGUCUGCAUUCGAUACGGGCAGGCUAGAGUUCGGUAGGGGAGAUCGGAAUUCCUGGUGUAGCGGUGAAAUGCGCAGAUAUCAGGAGGAACACCGGUGGCGAAGGCGGAUCUCUGGGCCGAUACUGACGCUGAGGAGCGAAAGCGUGGGGAGCGAACAGG
rnacentral:rRNA from 1 species